AAUCUGGAGGUUCCUCAGAAACUGGAAGACCCAGCUAUACCACUCUUGGGAAUAUACUCAAAAGAUGCUCCACCAUGCCACAGGAGAAGGUGUUCCACUAUGUUAAUAGCAGCCUUAUUUGUGAUAACCAGAAGCUGGAAACAACCUAGAUGUUCCAUAACAGAAGAAUGGAUACAGAAAAUGUGGUUCAUUUACACAAUGGAACACUACUUAAUUAUUACAAAUGAGGACAUCCUGAGUUUUGCAGGCAAAACUAGAAACUAUCAUCCUGAGUGAGAUGACUCAGACUCAAAAAGACAUGCAUGGGAUGGAAAUGGAGAGGAGCCUGAGGAAAAGAAGGUCCAGCUACGGGCCCAAAAUGGGAUCCAGAUCAAGGGGAUGUCCCAAACCUGACACUAUUACCGAGGCUAUGGAGUGCUCACAAAAAGGGAUCUAUCAUGACUGCUCUUCGAAAGACCCAACAAGCAACUGAAAGAGUCAGAUGAAGAUAUUUGCACCCAACCAAUGGACAGAAACCAAUGACCCCUGUUGUUGAAUUAGGUACAUGGAAAGCAUCUGGAUAUAACAACACCUAUUCGGAUUUUGUCCUUAUACCACAGUAAGGGUAUUCUCAGCCUCAUAAAAGAAGCCUUUUUAUCCCGAUGAUGGAGUUUCAACAUUUCUUUGGAGACUCAGUUGUGUCUUGUGAUGUUUUUCUGGAAGCUGCCUGGAAAAGAAGGAUGUGAUGUUGGGAAAUAUAACCCAACAGACAAGAGCAUGUGAGGUUCCCAACAGGAACAUGUAUGACUCAAAGUCAGCAGCCUCACCAGGAAGUCCACCCAUGUAUGAAUGAUUACUCAUGAAAACUGUUUUCGAGAUGCUUCAUGCACAAGACUAAGCUCUAUGACCUGGAAUGUCUCCUCUCAACCACAACUGUUACUGACAAUAUAUCCUAAGAGGGGAGAUUUAAAAAAAAAUCUUGUAAGUUUCAGGAACUUCAUUAAUCUUAAGGAACUUCCCUCUAGUAUAGAAUGCUUCCAUUCAGAGGAGAUUGCUACACAACAAAGAAUAAUUUAAAAGUAAGAACAAAGGGAUAAAGAGACAAAAGGACAAAUGAUUGUUCAGUGUUUGUGGUAGCAGUAUCAUUGAGAUAUUAUAAUAAAUAGCAACAUACCUAAAGCAUAAAAGAAAUAAAACAUUGACAGAUGUAAUUUA
rnacentral:lncRNA from 1 species